CAGUCGCCGCGGGAAUACGGAGGGUGCAAGCGUUAAUCGGAAUUACUGGGCGUAAAGCGCACGCAGGCGGUCUGUCAAGUCGGAUGCGAAAUCCCCGGGCUCAACCUGGGAACUGCAUCCGAAACUGGCAGGCUAGAGUCUUGUAGAGGGGGGUAGAAUUCCAGGUGUAGCGGUGAAAUGCGUAGAGAUCUGGAGGAAUACCGGUGGCGAAGGCGGCCCCCUGGACAAAGACUGACGCUCAGGUGCGAAAGCGUGGGGAGCAAACAGGAUUAGAUACCCCUGUAGUCCCUGUCUCUUAUAC
rnacentral:rRNA from 1 species